CAAUAGCGUAUAUUAAAGUUGUUGCAGUUAAAAAGCUCGUAGUUGGAUUUCUGGUGGGAGCGAUCGGUCUGGCGCUUAGCGCGAGUACUUGCAUCGUCUCCGGCCAUCCUUGGGGAGAGUCUGUCUGGCAUUAGGUUGUCGGGCAGAGGAUCCUCAUCGUUUACUGUGAAAAAAUUAGAGUGUUCAAAGCAGGCUUAUGCCGUUUAAUAUAUUAGCAUGGAAUAAUAAGAUAGGACUUUGGUACUAUUUUGUUGGUUUGCGCACCAAAGUAAUGAUUAAUAGGGACAGUUGGGGGUAUUCGUAUUCCGUUGUCAGAGGUGAAAUUCUUGGAUUUACGGAAGACGAACUACUGCGAAAGCAUUUACCAAGGAUGUUUUCAUUAA
rnacentral:rRNA from 1 species